AUGCCGCCCCCUAAGCCGGGAAGCACCUGCUGUGGGGCACAGGGCCGAGGAGACAGCAUUCCUGGACAGCUUUGUCUGAGCACCCUGCUUCCCCGGCCCCUCUCGUUUUCCCCUGUUGCCCUCGCGGUGCGUGCUCACCCCCUGGCCCCCUGCAGAGCCCCGCACUCAGCCAGCCCCAGGAACACAGCAGUGAAGACUUUGUCCUCAAAGGAGGCAGCUGAGCUAAUUAGCAGAGACUCCAUCCUCUCCUCAGCGAGGACAUUAUUUCAUUAUCUGAAGCUCAACACAGCCCCACGGUGUCCAGCCAACACGCUCAGGCAGCUGGCAACAGCAGAGCAAAUCAAUGGGCAGCAAGAGGCCAGCUCUGGCCCGGCCUCCCCACGGGGCCUGGGGCUCCGUCCCAUCUUUCUGGCAGAUGCCGGGGAAGACAAAAAAGCCAGUGUUGGAUGGGAAAGAUUACAGGCUGAGCAGCGAGGCACAAAGGGCCCACCGAGAACUCAUGCCUAUUGUCGCUUCUGGACGAAAUCGGCCAUCUCCAGGACAGAGACCGGCCCCGCGGCACGGCCACUGCCUACCUGCCCACGCUCAGCGCCGCCAGCUGCCGUAAGCCCAUCGGAUGAGCUUCUCGCCACCCCCACGCACGCAGGUGGCCUCCUGCCAGCCUCCUCUCGGGUGACCAUGUUGGUUCCCCCUCCUUUCUGCCUCCCCAGGCUUGGUGCCUCCUCUUUCAAGGGGCCUUCCUGGCUACUCCAUUCUGCUCUGCCUCCAGUCUCCGGAGCUCUUCUGGGCCCCACAAAAUCAAGCCCGUGGCCCUGUAGUGUCUGCCGUGCCCAGCUUUCCCUGUGGUGGCUCUGGUUCUUGACCUGCAGGUCCUGAUGUGGAAGGAAGAGAGAUCUGGCCUCCUCGCUGCCUCGCCAUCGUGGAGCGUGGUGUAGGGGCACACGGUAGGAGCUUGAGAAGCGGUGCUGACAGGCCCCCAGGAAAUCCUUCCAAAGCCUCCAUGCACUGCAGUGGAGGAUAUUGGGGGGGGGUGGUCAGAGAGCAGGGCUGCGGUCAGCCCUAAAGUGAGAGUCUGUGUGCUCUUGGGUCAGUCCUUGGCAUCCUCUUGGCCUCAGUGUCCUGGUCUGUCAAGGCAGGGUUUGAGUUGAAAUGACCUCUGAGGUUCUGUUCACUUGCUGGGGCUGUGCUGAGCCGGACGCAGCUCAUGGCCCGACAAGCCGCGGGGGCAGGGAGGGAAGGCAGCAGAGGGCUGGCUGGGGCCGGGCACGCCGGGCGGCACGGGGCCUGGUGCCCACGCGAGCAGAGGACGCCCAGCCGCAGCUCGGCCGCUAGGGGACCAGCAGUGUAGCCGGUGAGCCACGCGGAGAACACGGUCUGGCGGAGGAGGGGCUGGGAGCGCACACACGCCACCUGUGCACACGCGAGUACACACACAGCGAUGUUAUGUCAGCCAGGAGCGGCCAAGCCUCACAGGCGUCGAGCUUCUCAAUCCGAGUGCCUUUCCAGGCGCUGCCACGCUUGCCUCGCCGCCCCCCCACCCGAGGAGGAACAGGGAACCCCUCACAGCCCCGUUGGAGAUGGGUUCCUGGAUCCUUCUCACUUCCAGAGUGUGAGAAGUCAUUGCCCGAUCCACGUCUUCCCCAAACUGUGCCAGGUGCUUGUCUUCAUGAGAGAUGAGACAAAGAAGGCAUGUGCUAUGGAGGAGCGGGCAACGUGCCCGGAGCGGAGAGAAAGUGGGAGCGAGAGGGAUGGGAGGAAGGACGGAGAAAGGGAAGGGGGAACAAAGGGAGGAAAAGAGGAUGGGAGGAGGGGAAAGAGGUAAGGA
rnacentral:lncRNA from 1 species